rnacentral:tRNA from 1 species
UAUUGGGGUGGCAGAGCCAGGUACAUGCAUAAGGCCUAAAACCUUUACUUCAGGUGUUCAAAUCACCUCCCUAAUC